CACACAGUUCGUCCCUGAUCCAGUGAGAGAGGAGACUACGUAAAUGGCAUAUGGAUACCAGGAGCUGAGGAUCACUGGGGGCUGACUUAGAUGCUGAUUGCCAGGGAAAACGGGAAGAGAAUUACUGAAAUAAUGCCCUUGCAUGGGCACAAGCACAUGGGAUCUAGCACAGAAGCAGAGGGAAUAGCCCUUGUUAGGUGCAGAGAAGUCAUUGAUAGGAAGAGUGUAUCGGUGCAAUUGCAAAAGGGUGAGAAGUGGGAAUUUGACCACACUCUUUUCUGGCUUUUUGUUUUUUUCUGCUUCUCAGUGAGAUAGAAAACAAGGUCAUAGGCUAAGAAUGAGGACUGGGAAGAGGUUUUUGAGGUUCAUAUUUCAAAGUUUUCAGUAUCACUCAAGUGAUACGGUGGUCGUUGUCAUAUUACUUGUUUCAUUAUAUUAGUAAGAAGAAAAACCCCUCUUUUUGACCAUUGUUGUACUCUAAGAGGCACAGACCACAUUUUAGUACAGUGAAAGGAAACCAACUCUGUUUUUUUUUUUUUUGUUUUUCAUUUUAAAGUCUGAUUUUUUCCUCUUUGGUCUCAAGACCUUUCUAUGUUUAUAAUAUAGAAACUUUUAUCUGUAAACAUACUUUGUUUUGCAAUUAGGUUAUUUUCUUUACUUCUGCUUAUGGAAUAGGAUAAAAUACAGACAGAUCAAUGUGCUUAAAGGAGACUCUAAAAUGUGGGACAUGUUUUUUUCCUAGCCCAAUCAGCCUGAGACCAUAUGGGACAAACCUUACACUAAAUAAGCCAGAUGUACAGACUCAUUGAGAUGUGGGAGACAGCACAACAAAGGAAUUGUGGGAUGUUUCAGCAAAGGAAGGAAAAGAGUUAAGGAUUUUACCAAAGAUUGGAGUUUGGGUGCAGUGUAAAUGCAACAGUGUUUUGAUGGGCAGUAUGUAAAGGGACCAAUAUCAGUUCUGGACUGUGAAAUGUACCUUUUUUUUUCUUUUCCUUUUUAAGUAGGCUUCAUGCCCAGUGAGGAGCCCAAGUUGGGGCUUGAACUCACAACCCUGAGAUCAAGACCUGAGCUGAGAUCAAGAGUUGGACACUUAACCAACUGAGCCAUCCAGAUGCGAAAGAGGGAUCACGCAGUCUGCUGUUUCUUCAAGAAGCCACCUUGUGAUCAGGAGGAAAGUCAGCCAAGGAUACAGCCAAAAAGACCACAAAGAAACUUAGCCAGACAUGGCUGAACUGAGCUAAAGCCUACUCUACCUCUGGAUAUUUGAGGGAAACUAGCCAAUAAAAUUCUUUUUGUGGAAGCUUGA